GAUGAGAACGCAGCGAAAUGCGAUAAGUAAUGUGAAUUGCAGAAUUCAGUGAAUCAUCGAAUCUUUGAACGCACAUGGCGCCUUCCAGUAUCCUGGGAGGCAUGCCUGUCCGAGCGUCGUUUCAACCCUCGAGCCCCCGUGGCCCGGCGUUGGGGAUCUGCCACGGCAGGCCCCUAAAACCAGUGGCGGACCCGAAGGCCCUCUCCUUUGCGCAGUAGCAUCAGCCUCGCAUUGGGAUCCCUCGGCGUCCUGCCUCUAAACCCCCCACAAGUCCGCUCCGGCGGCACCAAGGUUGACCUCGUAUCAGGUAGGAAUACCCGCUGAACUUAAGCAUAUCAAUAAGCGGAGGA
rnacentral:misc_RNA from 1 species